rnacentral:rRNA from 1 species
AGAGGUGGAACGGGAGAGGAUUUUUUUGGCGUGCGCGGGCUGCGACGGCAACAACGCGGUGGGAGCUAUAGCGCCGGUGGCUGGUGAGACUUGACGCGGAGGUACAGGUACUCCAGGCGACGCAAGCAGAUGCAGAGGACGUUGCGGCUGAGCUGCGGCCUCUCGGACUGUUGCUACCCUAGCUCGAGAAGGAGCAGGGGCCGUGGCUGCUCGCGGUGGUCGGCUAAGCGACGUAGGUCUACUGGAUGCUGGAGCGGCAAGCGAGGAGACGUCAGAGA